rnacentral:rRNA from 1 species
GUGAGUAGCGAAAGACGGGUGAGAAUCCCGUCCACCGAUUGACUAAGGUUUCCAGAGGAAGGCUCGUCCGCUCUGGGUUAGUCGGGUCCUAAGCUGAGGCCGACAGGCGUAGGCGAUGGAUAACAGGUUGAUAUUCCUGUACCACCAUUAUUCGUUUUAAGCGAUGGGGGGACGCAGUAGGAUAGGCGAAGCGUGCUGUUGGAGUGCACGUCCAAGCAGUGAGAUUGAGUGUUAGGCAAAUCCGGCACUCUUAAGAUUGAGCUGUGAUGGGGAGAGGAACUUGUUCCUCGAGUCGUUGAUUUCACACUGCCGAGAAAAGCCUCUAGCUAGAAUAACGGUGCCCGUACCGCAAACCGACACAGGUAGUCAAGAUGAGAAUUCUAAGGUGAGCGAGCGAACUCUCGUUAAGGAACUCGGCAAAAUGACCCCGUAACUUCGGGAGAAGGGGUGCUCUUUGAGGUUCACGCUUCGAAGAGCCGCAGUGAAUAGGCCCAAGCGACUGUUUAUCAAAAACACAGGUCUCUGCUAAACCGUAAGGUGACGUAUAGGGGCUGACGCCUGCCCGGUGCUGGAAGGUUAAGAGGAGUGGUUAGCGCAAGCGAAGCUACGAAUCGAAGCCCCAGUAAACGGCGGCCGUAACUAUAACGGUCCUAAGGUAGCGAAAUUCCUUGUCGGGUAAGUUCCGACCCGCACGAAAGGCGUAACGAUUUGGGCACUGUCUCAACGAGAGACUCGGUGAAAUCAUAGUACCGGUGAAGAUGCCGGUUACCCGCGACAGGACGGAAAGACCCCGUGGAGCUUUACUGUAGCCUGAUAUUGAAAUUCGGUACAGUUUGUACAGGAUAGGUAGGAGCCUUAGAAGCGUGAGCGCUAGCUUACGUGGAGGCAUUGGUGGGAUACUACCCUAAUUGUAUUGGAUUUCUAACCCGCAGCACUUAUCGUGCUGGGAGACAGUGUCAGGCGGGCAGUUUGACUGGGGCGGUCGCCUCCUAAAGAGUAACGGAGGCGCUCAAAGGUUCCCUCAGAAUGGUUGGAAAUCAUUCAUAGAGUGUAAAGGCAUAAGGGAGCUUGACUGCGAGACCUACAAGUCGAGCAGGGUCGAAAGACGGACUUAGUGAUCCGGUGGUUCCGCAUGGAAGGGCCAUCGCUCAACGGAUAAAAGCUACCCCGGGGAUAACAGGCUUAUCUCCCCCAAGAGUUCACAUCGACGGGGAGGUUUGGCACCUCGAUGUCGGCUCAUCGCAUCCUGGGGCUGUAGUCGGUCCCAAGGGUUGGGCUGUUCGCCCAUUAAAGCGGUACGCGAGCUGGGUUCAGAACGUCGUGAGACAGUUCGGUCCCUAUCCGUCGUGGGCGUAGGAAAUUUGAGAGGAGCUGUCCUUAGUACGAGAGGACCGGGAUGGACAUACCUCUGGUGUACCAGUUGUCGUGCCAACGGCAUAGCUGGGUAGCUAUGUAUGGACGGGAUAAGUGCUGAAAGCAUCUAAGCAUGAAGCCCCCCUCGAGAUGAGAUUUCCCAACUUC